AAUAAUUCAUCUACAAUAUAAGAAAAUAACAUGUUAUGCCAAUUACCAAUUUACCCCUAUGGUCCCAAAUUUUGCCACGUGGAUGGGCUCUGCUUCUAUCUCCCAUUUUUGUUCAUUUCUCUAUUCCUAUUUUUUAUUUGGUUGCUUCUUCAAAAUGUUUCCACAUUACACAGAUAUGCAGUCCUGCACAAAACUCUCUUGGGAACACAAAUUUAUUCUGCACCGUCUUUUUUUACAUAUCUAACAACUCAUCUAACAUCAAUAGUCUUUUCCGUCUUCAACCAUCUUCUCAUUUCGUUCUCUCUCUUCAACUUCAUAAGACAAGCUUCUUCCAUUUUCAACCCUAAAUCAUCUUCCAUUUUCAAAACCCAACCAUCUUCCAUCUUUAACAUCUCUAUCUACAUGGCACGACCGCUGGAGAAAGGUUUCUUCUUCAUUCUUCAUCUUUUCCAAAUCAAAAAACAAACUCCUGCUUCUCUUUCUUUUCAUCUUCAUCAAUAAUAUCUUCAUCUUUAUGGGUUUGGAGUUAGGGUUUGGAACUAUGACGAAUAUGGAAGGUUGGUUAGGGUUAUGAGCGAGAUUUAUAGAUUUGGUUGAAGGAAAAACAGGGUUCCUUUCUCUUUCACUUUAAAGGUACACAAAAGACAGAUCCAUAACUAUGGGAUAUGGUUUUUUGGCCAAAUUAUGACUUUAUUAUUGAUAAAAACAGUGAGGAAACAU